GGCCGUUUGGCCCGGCAAAAUAAAAUUCUGCCUCAUUUUUUUUAAGCUUCGUGUGAAUCCUCGAUGGCUGCCCGCAGAGGAGCAGUGAGGUGGCGGCCCUGUCGCGCAGCAUGCUGGGAGAUGUAGUUCGCGGCAGGCCGGCGGCGCGGGGCGUGCUGGGAGAUGUAGGCGGCGGUGGCCCAGCCGCGCAGGGGAUGAUGGGGGAUGUAGGCUGCGGCGGGCCGGGCGCGCGGGGUGUGCUGGGAGAUGUAGGCGGUGGCGGGCCGACUGCAGGGGGCGCGAUGGCAGGGUGUGAGGGCAGCUGGAGGGGAACGGUGCCCACAGGGGGUGGCCGAGGUGAGAGAAUAGCACCUGGAAGGGAAAACGGCGCCGUGAGCGGUGCCUGAGGGGGACCCGGAGCCCGUGCGGGGGUGGCGGAGGUAAGGAAUGGGCGCUGGCUUCGCCCUCAGGCCCACGUGCCCCGUCCUGUCCCCUCUCCUGCGCGCCUACCCCGCUCCUCUCCCCCCUCCCUGCCCCUCGUAGGGCUGGGAUCUUUCCCCGUGCCCCUUGCACGCGCGUGUGCCCCGGUGUCGCGGGCGCUCCCUCGCUAAGCCGUUAAUCUCCCGGCAGUGACGAGCCCCGGGGCUGCAGGAGGAGCUGUGGGGAGGGCCCAGACCCUGCAAACCACCCCCUGGCCCCCCCAAAAUCCCCCCCCCACCCUCCCCUACCACCCCCAAAUCCCUCCGAGCACCCGAACGCCCCCAAAACCCUGCUGAUAGCUUGAAGACACCCCAACCCCGCUGAACCCCCACCCUAAAAUAUCCCCCCAGAUCCCAGCACACCCCUCACGAUGUCGGAGUCCGAGGAGAACGGAGAGGGUGAGUGUAGGGGAUGUCCUGGGGGGGUCCCCAAAAGGGCUGUGAAGGUCCAGUGGGGGAAGGGGGGGGGUUCCCAAAAGGGAUAUAGGACAUUCUUGGGAAGAUUUGGGGUUGUAGGGUGGUCCCCAAUAUAUAAAGGGAUCCCCACUGUAUAGGGGGUCCCCGCUCUACAGGGAUGUGGGAAUUUGGGGGUGGCCCCUGCGUGUACUGGGUUUGGGGGCCCUGAAGGGGGGGUCCAGGAGGGGUUGGGGGAAUACAAGAGGAGUUUGGGGGUGUCCUUGCCAUCCCCUCGACCAAAUUCCCCCCCCCCCAGGCCCCCCCAAGGGGCUCCCGUCCUUCGCCGAGGCCAUGGGGCAGCCCCUGGGGUGGCCGGUAGCCGAAGGCAACGGGGGGCCAGCGGAAGGGGGAACCCCCCCGGGCCACCGGCACCGCCGCCCCCCCCACGCCAAGCACAAGGGGCAAGGUUCUGGGGGGGUCCACCGCUCCCCCCGCGCCCUCUUCUGCCUCCGCCUCAACAACCCCAUCCGCC
rnacentral:lncRNA from 1 species